GCAUCGUAUGCAACCAAAUUUAUUAUGUACUAAUGACCUCAUGGAGUUCUCUGCAAAAGGCCCUGGAUGUUCUUCACUCCAGUUAGACAGAGGUGGCACGCCUCUCUCACUAAGCCAGCUACCAGGAGACUGUGGCUACUCUGUGAAAAGGACUGCAGUGGGCCUUGUGUUUGUCGCCCCAUUUGAUGGUUGUGAUGUUAUAAAACAGGGAAAUAGCCACUUGCUGCAGAUGUUGUGGCACGACAAUCCAGUAACCCUCUCCUGCCCGGCAUCAAGCUCAGACCAAGUCUCUCCAGUUUUAUCCACUACUCCAGCUCCAACUACAGUAGCACCUACCACAGCUGCCGGGCUUCCUCCACAGAAUCAACAGUGGAUGCCCCCCUUCUUUGGAGGCUACUACCCUGUAAUGCCUGUGGAGACUCC